UAUGUCCUGGUGGAUUUUUUUACAUUUUAACGAUUUUAGUGUGCCUCUAUCUGUAAGUAUUUACACAUCGAUGUUUGUUGAAGUCGAGUUCUAAAUCAACGGCUCGGGUAAAGUGAAAUGUAAAAGCCACUUACCUAAUACUGAAAGCGGCGACAAUCUCAUUCCGACGACAAAUUGAGAACACCUUCCUGUGGCGUGUCACGGCGCACCACAAUAUACCUAGGUUACAGAAUUGUAGUUGCUUAAUGAAAUUACUUUUUGCUAGGUAGGUAGUAGUUCAAUUUCGAAAUACAUUUGUAAUUAAAAAUGUAUUUUUUGUUAUGUACAUAUAUACCAUACAUACAUAUUAUAUCUAACAAAAAUCAGGAGAAUUAGACGACCAUGAGAUUUGUCUCUUUCAUUCUGAAGUCGAUUUCAAGAUGGAUAAAACUCAUGACUCAUGAUUAAACGAUUUGUCACUAUGUUUGUAAGUAAUAUGUAGAAAAUAUUUCUGCUACCUUACUACUCUACUCUCUACUCUACUCUUUCUGUUAUCUGAGAAAUUUCCCUUCCAUUUUUUUUCCAGGCUUAGAGCCUUAGAUCAUAGAGCAUAGGAGCCCAGUGAUCACUUUCCAACUUUACGUCUCUACUUCGCACUGAGUUUUCAUUGGUCUCUUAGUUAUCGCUAUCGAUUUAAUACCAGAAAUACAAUUUUAAGCUAAAACACUGAAAACUGCAAGUACAUUCACAACAUACAAUAUAUUUCUCACCACAAACAGACAUGUAUUAAGUAAUAUGUGGUUUCUAUUGAAAUGGGAUUUUCCUUCGAGCUAAUGAAAGAUGCUGCAAUAUUUACUCAACUACUUGAACUGUUGAACAAAGUGACGCAUCUGUUAUUGACUAUAGUUUGCAGUCACGUACCCUACGGCCGCACUCCCUGGUAAAUAGCUAUUUAUUGUGGCAGACAUUGAGCGAGACACCUGUCUCUGUAGGAACCUCGGUCAAAUGAAACAUUAAUAUAACUAAUAUAUUUAUUUGCUGUUACAUUGUACAAGGAAUAACCUACUAUUGGGUGUACUCUUACAUUUAUAUUUUAUUUAUUGUUAUUUCAAUAUAUCACAUUCUCAUCCUAGCAUGUUCCCGGUUACAAAGCCCGGAGACGCAGGUAUCUACAAAUAUUUUAUAAAUGGAAAUAUUUGUCACACCGAGAGAAUUAGUCAUAACUAAGAGAUUACUGCAUUAUCUCCUGCAUUUCCAAUCUAUAGAUUGAUAAAAUAGCACAUGUGUAUAUAACGUCGAUGGUAACAGGGCGAUGUGUCAUUGAUUUCUAAUAAAAUAAAGAAUAUUGAUUUUUAUCAAGUAUUUUUUCUUCGGAAUAUAUAAAUAUUAUUAACUAGAUUAUGUUAUUAUACUUACUAACUUUUGACAUAAACUUUUCGUUUCAGAACUUUUUUAGCUAUAGCAUGUCCCACUGCAGGACAAAAGCCUCCCAUUUCUCUAUCUAUAAAUUCUUAUUCCUGACCUUUUCUAACUACUAAAAACUAGAAAUAAUAUUAAAAAUCUGCAAUAGAAACCCACCAUUAUCUGAAUCUUUUGCAAUAAGUAGUAACUAAAAUUAAACUUAUGAAAUAAUUAUUUAACCUAUUAUUUAAUCAUAGGAAUGAUAUCAAAUAAAUUCCACAAAGCGGAACCAUUUUUUGUUACAUGUCAGUUUUUGCAAGAUUUUCUUCAAAAAUAUUUCUAUACCUAAUAUAUUUUUGCUCGUUACCACAUGAUGAUAGGAACAAAGCAAGCAAUAAUUAUAACUGAUAGGUAAUCAAUGAGAAGUUAUAUUACUUAAAUCGUUUAUAAGUACAUUUUUGAGUACAUAGGUAGGUAGUCAUUUUAUCCUGGUUCACACUAUCAGUGAACUCAGACUAAUGCCGAAGCGAAUGAACGUACAGUCAGCUGCAAAACUUCAUACAUAUUUUUGAACCUUAUACCUAGAGUAUAAGUUUCCAUCUAAACUAACACAUGGGAUCAAGGAAGAGAUCGUACACUGCGUAGUUUGCAUGUUGGCAUUUUUUAACGCAAGAAAACCCGCCAAUGUAAGUCGAAAUAGAAAAUUAUUUGCCGAUAGUAAAUAGCCAACAUAGCUGUUGUCCAAUCAUAUUUAGAUGUAGUACUAAAGCUUCUUACCCGUUCCCGAAUAUGGGUAGGUUGUAAUGCUGAUCACUGUACUAUCGCAGUCAUUUAAUUUAAUAAUUACCAUUUUUAUUGGUUGCAUCUUCAAACCGGUCAGUGUUUUCUCGUACAGUCAUCAAUAUACAAAGUUGUCAUGCCAGAAGUCUAUACAGCGAUAAUAAUGGUGUAUUUAAAUUGAGUUACCAUUGGUUUAUGUGCUGUUCACUGUACCCAAGUAUUUAUGAAAAUAAGAGAAUUUAGAAACAAAACUUGAAUUUUAAAAAUAAUAAUUUUAGUCUAAAUAUGGCUGAGUGAGACAAACUACCUUCAAUAUGUGUUAUUUAACGGCAAAAUUGUUCAAGUAUUUUGUGCUACUCGUUUGUGCUUUGAAUAUUGUUUUUAUCAUUGUAUUAUUGUCCAACACGUCUAAAUGGAACUCACCAGAUAACAUUUCUUCGGGGUAUGUGCUAUCGCCCACGCCACCGACUGCGAAACCACAUCUACUACCAUCACCAUAUGAGGCACAAACACAAAAUGGACGCUUGCAACGUUUGCCUAGUAACAAUAGUCAGAAACCUAGUAUGGACGAAUUUGGAUCUAUGAAUGAAAACGCAGAAAAAGUCCGAAACAAAAGAGGAGCUGAGAAAACAACUACAACCAAAUUAUUAAUGAAUGAGAAAUACGACAGGUUUGAAUUAGAUAGCAAAGGAGUUGUAAUAAUUGGCAGAAACAACAUAGUUCAUGCGGCAACGCCACAUCCUCGCGUCACUAUGCCACUUUUCCAGGCGCUGCCUGUUACUCCUGAAGGUUGACUUAACUUUAGUUAGUGUUAGUGUUUAGUCUUUAGUUAGUUAGUGUAGCCAUGUAAGGUUCUUCAUGAAGAUAAUAUUGAAAAUUCUGCUAUAAAAGGCAAGUUUCAUAUUGAAAAUUUAUAUGAAUAAAAAAAUAAAUAUGAAUGAAAAAUUAAUUAUUUAUUCACUCACCAAGACUUGUAUAUGUUACUCGUUGCUUAGCGUAUGGUGAAGGAGACUUAAUAGAUUUUAUUCCCAAAUGCUGAAUAUUAAACUUCCUUAGCAAAACCACAUAAAAUAACGCAAAUUUCCCCCCUUUUAAAACGAGUUUUCAUCAAAUACUACUUCACCAUUAUGUAAUGCGGCUUACAAAACAGAUUUUUAUUAUAAAUUCUCAGUGUCAAAUGCAUAUUUUUGUCUAUUGUUUUUUAAACAAAUCUCAGUAAUUAUGUCAACAAAAAAAAUAUCAGAAAUGGUUCUAUGUUCGGUACUAACGGAUUUUGAAAUACUUAUGAACCCAAUAUAGUAUAAUAGAUAAACACCAAAAUGUAAGUUAAUUUAGUUAAAAAAUUAAAAAACUUUGUGAGAAUUUAAUAAAAUAAUCACAACACAUUCGUAUGUAUUCGACGACUUCUAGAAAAUAUCCUGAUAAUACUAGACCCUUGAAAUUAAACGAACAACUUUAAUGGGAAUCGCGAACGUAAACAAUUUCUAAGUAAAUGUUGAAGUUCUAAAUGAUUCUAAGCUAACGGGCAGUUUGCGAGCUGGCAUCUAAUUUAGUGCCUUUGCUAUCAGAAGCACUUUGAUUGCACGUUAAAUUUGCAACAAUCCGAAAUCAGGAGGAAAACUUUAGCCGAAAUGAACGAGAAGUUCCUGACAGUUCAACGAUUGAACGAGGCAUCUUCAUUUGCUAGUUUAGUUGCCUGCUUUUGAUUUGACUAGUAUUUGGUAUAUGUAUUUGUAUGAUCAUCUGACUAGUACUUAGUUAUUUAUAAUCAUUUUUUUAAGUUUGUACCCUAUUUCAUUGCACGCCUGGAUAUGCGCUUAUUUUGUAACUACAUAGUUAUAACAAUUUCUUUUUUGUUUGAGUUCAAUUAUUAUUUAAGUUCGUCGAGGAAAUAUUUCAUUGGUACUCCUCAACGGUUUACUGCACGGUAAUUUUUUUGUCGUAUGUUGAAUGCGACAAGACCUUUCUAUUUGACGAUGACAAAGGCUUGUGGCUAAAAUGACAUUAAAAAAAACUAUUUGUUAAAGCAUUUUUUUAAAGUACCUUAAAACACUUUGUGUGGUAAUUUUCUAUUAUCUUAUUAAGUAUGCUAAUGAAAUGAUAAUUGUUGAUAAAACAUUUUCUACAUUACUUCAUAGUUAUAGUAAUAAUAUAAUAUUAUACACGCUAGGUUAUGAGCGGUGUCUUACGAGCAAAUAUAUUCAUUUCUCAGCAUUGUACGGAAGCCGUUGCGGUUAGUAUGGAAAGGUGAAUACACUUGUACUCUCCGGAAACCCAUGUGUUAUCCCGGCCGUUUGUUAAGCCUCAAAAUUAUGAGCUGCCCCGAGAACCCUGGCGAGAAACGCAAAACAAGUUUCACUUUUUUCUUUUGCAAAUCCACUUUUGUUUACCUGAAUAGAUACACGUUAUGAAAUGUUUUCUUGAAAUUGUGGGGAUAUUUAUUGUAAAGGAAUCUUGAUCACUUCUAUUUUGUUGGUGGUGUACCUACGUUGUUUAAUUGCCAUGAUUAUAAUGUAUGUUGUUCUAAUUAUUUUAAUAAUCAUUAUUUAUUGAUGUAGUUAUAUAAAUUGAAAUUUCUUAAUGACAUGGUUCAAUCUUAAUGAAUAAAUAAAUCAAUACCUUUGAAACUAUUA